GGCAUUUUUAAGCCCAAAAGGCAUUACGUUCCAUUCGUAAUGUCCAAAUGGUACAGUAAAGGCAGUUUUAUACCUAUCUGUUUCAGCUAUCUGGAUUUACCAAUAUCCAGAUUUCAUGUCGAAUUUUGAAAAGAUUUGGGCCUCGUAGAGUCUAUUUAAUAAAUCUCUUUUAUUAGGCAAUGGAUAUCUGAUCCAUCUAAGGGCCUUAUUUAAAGGCUUAUAGUUGAUAA
rnacentral:misc_RNA from 1 species